rnacentral:sRNA from 1 species
UGGUGCUCCAGUAUCGGGACUACCAGAGGGCCACGCAGAGGCUGGCGGGCAUUCCGGAACUGCUCAACAAACUUCGCCAGGCCCCUGAUUUCUACGUUGAGAUGAAGUGGGAGUUCACCAGCUGGGUGCCCCUUGUGUCUAAGAUGUGCCCAAGCGAUGUGUACCGCGUGUGGAAGCGGGGUGAGAGCCUGCGAGUAGACACCAGUCUCCUGGGCUUCGAGCACAUGACCUGGCAGCGGGGCCGGAGGAGCUUCAUCUUCAAGGGCCAGGAGGCAGGAGCCCUGGUGAUGGAGGUGGACCAUGACCGGCAGGUGGUGCAUGUGGAGACGCUGGGGCUCGCUCUGCAGGAGCCCGAAACACUGCUGGCCGCCAUGCGGCCCAGCGAGGAGCAUGUGGCCAGUCGCCUCACCUCUCCUAUUGUCUCCACCCACCUGGACACUCGUAAUGUGGCCUUUGAGAGGAACAAAUGUGGUAUCUGGGGCUGGCGGUCUGAGAAGAUGGAAACUGUUAGCGGCUACGAGGCCAAGGCAGGAGAGGCUAGGGGUGGGGGGCUGGGGGUAGGAGAUGAGGUCCAGGAACUCAGCUCCUCUCCACAUCCAUCCCAGAGUAGCCCCUGGGCUCUGGAAACCCUGAGCAUUUGUGGGAACUCAGCGGGCCUGAGUGCCCAGCCCCUGCGGAGUACACAGGGCUCACCCACAUCACGGGCCCCUACCCAGGGUACCGAGAUCAAAAGAGGAGUGUGUUCCUCUUGACCCUGGGGCUGCAUCUCCUCGUUGGUGACUUCCCGGGGUUCAGACCCUGCCACCUCCUCCAUUUUGGGGAGCAAGAUCUCAUCUGUCUCUGGGACAGGAGGACCUGGGUUCUGCACUGGUGAGGCUGAGUGUGGGGAGCAGGCUCUGAGCCCCCAGCUCCCCGUGUCCCCUGCUCCCCAGGUGUACAGUGCCACCAACGUGGAGCUGGUGACACGCACACGCACGGAGCACCUCUCUGAUCAGGACAAGUCGAGGAGCAAAGCGGGGAAGACUCCGUUCCAGUCCUUCCUGGGGAUGGCGCAGCAGCAUUCCUCCCACACCGGGGCCCCCGUGCAGCAGGCAGCCAGCCCCACCAACCCCACAGCC